AACGAACGCUGACGGCAGGCUUAACACAUGCAAGUCGAACGCCCCGCAAGGGGAGUGGCAGACGGGUGAGUAACGCGUGGGAACAUACCCUUUCCUGCGGAAUAGCUCGGGGAAACUGGAAUUAAUACCGCAUACGCCCUACGGGGGAAAGAUUUAUCGGGGAAGGAUUGGCCCGCGGUGGAUUAGCUAGUUGGUGGGGUAAAGGCCUACCAAGGCGACGAUCCAUAGCUGGUCUGAGAGGAUGAUCAGCCACAUUGGGACUGAGACACGGCCCAAACUCCUACGGGAGGCAGCAGUGGGGAAUAUUGGACAAUGGGCGCAAGCCUGAUCCAGCCAUGCCGCGUGAGUGAUGAAGGCCUUAGGGUUGUAAAGCUCUUUCACCGAUGAAGAUAAUGACGGUAGUCGGAGAAGAAGCACCGGCUAACUACGUGCCAGCCGCCGCCGUAACAC
rnacentral:rRNA from 1 species